AGGGAGGAAAAUUAAGACAGCGCAAAAAAUAUGCAUUAUUGCACGUCACCACUAGGAAGAAAUUGGUUAAAUUUUGCCCCCUAGCGGCCCAAAUCUGGCUGUGGCCCCUUCUGCACAAUGGAGCUGAACAAGGGAAAGCAGGGACAAGGUUGAGAGCACAUUCCAGGUUGUGCUGGGAGCUAAGCGCAGGAACACCCAAGGGCGGUUCGAUGGCAGGCAGCUUCACCCUGUGCCACUGCCAACCACCAGCAUUGCUUUCUCCUCACGGGAGGGCAGCAUGGCCACAGCAGUGGCACAAAACUGGCAUGCUGAGACCAGCCACAACUUCCUCUCUCAGUGUUGAAGAGGCAAAAACCCCUCGGGGUUGCAUGGGUGCUGGAGGCAAUGGUGAACUGCCACAGACUGUGGUCAUGAAGAUUUUUGGGGGACCUGUAGACACCUGUGAGGAGAAAAUCCAGUCUCACCUGCUAUCCCUAAGGAAGGUGUUGGCAGAGUUUCUAGACUGGAGAGUGAAGGCAGUUUCUAGACUGGAGAGUGAGAGAAGAGAAGCAUCAUUGGGACUACCUGGAGAUGAGCAAGGCUGAGCGGCUCCGCAUCGAGGCCAAGUUCGAGUGGCUGUGCCACUGGAACAGGAGCAUGUGGUCCUGGGGCGGCUGGUGGAGCUGCACAACUCCUUCACAGCUGCCCAGGCCAAAAAAUCAUUACAGGUGGCUGAGGGGAUCACACAGCUCUAUGGGCUCACGGGGCAGCUGGAAGCUAAGCGCUUGCCCCAGGUGAGAGCCCUCCUUACCCAAAAGCCCUUCCAAAGUGCUGCCGAUGAGAACUUGAACCAUCCUCCCCCUUUUUUCUCUCUUUUUAUUUUUAGCAUGUUGGGAGCAUAGUAAGCAUGUAUGUGGAAACUGGUCACUUCCCCCCCUUGUCACCCCACCUGUGGAGAGGCAUUUAAAUAUCCCUUGCUCAACAUCCAUCUCUGUCAUUUAUCUUCCCAGCUGUAGUGAAAUAAGGCUUCACUUCCCCUAUGGGCUCCCCAUGGAGCUUGAGAAGAGCCUGAGCUCCUGCUGCUGCCAGCGGAAUGUACUGCGAGAGGACCUGGAGGAGUUCAGAGCCCUUCCGGCGACACCUGACAGCGGCCGUCCCUCGAUGCAGGUCUUUCAGUGACACGAGGCGACAAGUCACUCCCUGGCGCGGCUUUUAGAGACUCGCGGGAGCAGCCACACCUCAGCGCAGCCCCGCCACCACCGCCUGCGAGCCUGCUCCAGGGUGGCUUUCCUGCGGCAUCGGUGGGCCGGGCUUCCAUCCACCAAGAAAAAAACAAACCCAGCUACAACGCUACAAAUUGCCCCAGGAAGUGAAGUGGUUGGAGCGCACGUGGGCACCGAGGCGCUGCGGCUCCAAGAGCUGUUUUAUUAGCCCCUUCCCCGCACCCCCCAAGAAACCUUAAGUAAGGUAGAAACAGCGGUUUGCUUUUAUGUGCAUGCAUAGAGAUAGCAAAAAAGUACAAAAAUAACAAUUUCUGGGGAAAAUAUUUAUAUAUAGCACAGCCCUGGCUUCUCCUCCUGCUGCAGAAGCCUUGUGUAGGCUGAGAUUCCUCUUAAUAAAAGGACAGUAAGUGCCUGAAAUAAUUAAGAAUUAAUUAAGCAUGAAGUUGGUCUGCCGUUAACUAAUUUUUCAGGCGUUUCCUAGAAAAAAAAUACUUUAAAAAAAAAAAAGAAAAAAGGAUUUUAGGGGGUCUUUCCCUUCCUUUCUGCCCCGAGAUAUCGAACUUUGGAUUUAUUUGGUCUCAGUUCCUCACGUUUUGUCCUGUCCCGUUCUGUCGUGCUCUGCCCCAUUGCACCUCAAAGUGUGUUUUAUCAGCCUUAUUCAUAACUAUUGUAAUUCCUGAUUAGUAUUUUUGAAGUUAUUUUUACGCGGGUUUUGUUAUUUUUAUAAUUCUAUACUAACA